AUGUAUCUUUGUCAAUAUGCAUGCCACUAUGCAAGAAAUGUUUUUCCUACUGCUAAGUGCCUGAAACAAGAUUUUAAUGUAUUUUUUGAAAUCUUAAGUCUUGUCCACAUUUUGUCCUCUUGGAUAGUGAAAACCCUGCUGUCAAUCUGUAUUCACAGAGCUCAGAGUUCUACAAAGUCACCACUGAGCAGUACCAGAAAGCCGCUGAAGAGGUGGAAGCAAAGUUCAAGCGGUAUGAAUGCCAUCCCGUCUGUGCCGACCUGCAGGCCCAGAUUCUCCAGUGUUACCGCCAGAACACCCAGCAGACCCUCAGCUGCUCCGCUCUGGCCAGCGAGUACAUGCGCUGUGUCAAUCAGGCCAAACAGUUGUAUUAUUCCAUGCCGAAACCAACUUAAACAAAUUGGCCAGAAGCAUCAAAUUAUUUAUUACUAG
rnacentral:lncRNA from 1 species